CCUACGGGGGGCUGCAGUCGAGGAUCAUUCGCAAUGGGCGCAAGCCUGACGAUGCGACGCUGCGUGGAGGAUGACGGCCUUCGGGUUGUAAACUCCUGUCAUGAGGGAAGAGGAGAGCCUUAUUAAUACCAAGGUGAUUUGACGGUACCUCAAGAGGAAGCCACGGCUAACUCUGUGCCAGCAGCCGCGGUAAUACAGAGGUGGCGAGCGUUGUUCGGAUUUACUGGGCGUAAAGGGCGCGUAGGCGGCCGCGUGUGUGGGGUGUGAAAUCUCCG
rnacentral:rRNA from 1 species